GGAGUCUGGUCCGUGUCUCAGUACCAGUGUGGGGGAUAAGCCUCUCAGCUCCCCUAGACAUCGUCGGCUUGGUGGGCCGUUACCCCGCCGGCUUCCUAAUCAGCCGCAUCCCCAUCCCUCGGCGAUGAAUCUUUACUCCUCUUCAGAUGUCCUCGAAGGAGACCAUAGGGCAUUAAUCCGGUUUUCACCGGGCUAUUCCCUACCAAGGGGCAGGUUGGAUACGUGUUACUCACCCGUGCGCCGGUCGCCAUCAAAGGAAGCAAGCUUCCUUCAUGAUGCCCCUCGACUUGCAUGUGUUAAGCCUGUAGCUAGCGUUCAUC
rnacentral:rRNA from 1 species